rnacentral:rRNA from 1 species
CACGUAGGGGGCGAGCGUUGUCCGGAAUUAUUGGGCGUAAAGAGCUCGUAGGCGGUUUGUUGCGUCGGCUGUGAAAUCCCGAGGCUCAACCUCGGGUCUGCAGUCGAUACGAGCAAACUAGAGUGUUGCAGGGGAGACUGGAAUUCCUGGUGUAGCGGUGAAAUGCGCAGAUAUCAGGAGGAACACCGGUGGCGAAGGCGGGUCUCUGGGCAACAACUGACGCUGAGGAGCGAAGGCGUGGGGAGCGAACAGG